rnacentral:rRNA from 1 species
GUCGAGAAUAAUUCACAAUGGGGGAAACCCUGAUGGUGCAACGCCGCGUGGAGGAUGAAGGUCUUCGGAUUGUAAACUCCUGUCAUUCGAGAGUAAGACCUGACGGUGAAUAGCCGGCAGGGUUGAUAGUAUCGGAAGAGGAAGGGACGGCUAACUUCGUGCCAGCAGCCGCGGUAAUACGAAGGUCCCAAGCGUUGUUCGGAAUCACUGGGCGUAAAGGGAGCGUAGGCUGCGCGGUAAGUCAGGUGUGAAAUCCCGGGGCUCAACCCCGGAACUGCACCCGAUACUGCCGUACUAGAGGGUUGGAGAGGUGACUGGAAUUCUCGGUGUAGCAGUGAAAUGCGUGGAUAUCGAGAGGAACACUCGUGGCGAAGGCGAGUCACUGGACAACAUCUGACGCUGAGGCUCGAAGGCCAGGGGAGCAAAAGGGAUUAGAUACCCCCAGUAGUCC